AACUUUCAGCAACGGAUCUCUUGGCUCUCGCAUCGAUGAAGGACGUAGCA
rnacentral:rRNA from 1 species